UACGUAGGGCGCAAGCGUUGUCCGGAAUUAUUGGGCGUAAAGCGCGCGCAGGCGGCCUCUUAAGUCUGAUGUGAAAUCUUGCGGCUCAACCGCAAGCGGCCAUUGGAAACUGGGGGGCUUGAGUACAGAAGAGGAGAGUGGAAUUCCACGUGUAGCGGUGAAAUGCGUAGAUAUGUGGAGGAACACCAGUGGCGAAGGCGACUCUCUGGUCUGUAACUGACGCUGAGGCGCGAAAGCGUGGGGAGCAAACAGG
rnacentral:rRNA from 1 species